rnacentral:rRNA from 1 species
UACGUAGGAGGCGAGCGUUGUCCGGAAUACUGGGCGUAAAGCGCGCGUAGGCGGUCGGUUGCGUAGGCGGUGAAAGCCCCCGGCUCACCCGGGGGAGGUCCGUCUAAACGAGCCGACUAGAGGGCGGUAGGGGGCUGGCGGAACGCCCCGGAGUAGCGGUGAAAUGCGUUGAGAUCGGGGCAGAACACCAGUGGCGAAGGCGGCCGGCUGGGGCCGACCCUGACGCUGAGGCGCGGAAAAGCCAGGGGGAGCGAAACGGAA